rnacentral:rRNA from 1 species
GCGAUGCAUGKUCUARGUAUAAGCAAUUAUACCGUGAAACUGCGAAUGGCUCAUUAAAUCAGUUAUCGUUUAUUUGAUAGUACCUUACUACUUGGAUAACCGUGGUAAUUCUAGAGCUAAUACAUGCUAAAAACCCCAACUUCGGGAGGGGUGUAUUUAUUAGAUAAAAAACCAAUGCCCUUUCGGGGCUCCUUUGGUGAUUCAUAAUAACUUCUCAGAUCGCAUGGCCUUGCGCCGGCGACGGUUCAUUCAAAUUUCUGCCCUAUCAACUUUCGAUGGUAAGGUAUUGGCUUACCAUGGUUUCAACGGGUAACGGGGAAUUAGGGUUCGAUUCCGGAGAGGGAGCCUGAGAAACGGCUACCACAUCCAAGGAAGGCAGCAGGCGCGCAAAUUACCCAAUCCCGACACGGGGAGGUAGUGACAAUAAAUACUGAUACAGGGCUCUUUAGGGUCUUGUAAUUGGAAUGAGUACAAUUUAAACCUCUUAACGAGGAACAAUUGGAGGGCAAGUCUGGUGCCAGCAGCCGCGGUAAUUCCAGCUCCAAUAGCGUAUAUUAAAGUUGUUGCAGUUAAAAAGCUCGUAGUUGAACCUUUGGCCUGGCUGGCGGGUCCGCCUCACCGCGUGCACUCGUCCGGCCGGGCCUUUUCUUCUGGAGAACCGCAUGCCCUUCACUGGGUGUGUUGGGGACCAGGACUUUUACUUUGAAAAAAUUAGAGUGUUCAAAGCAGGCCUUUGCUCGAAUACGUUAGCAUGGAAUAAUAGAAUAGGACGUGCGGUCCUAUUUUUGUUGGUUUCUAGGACCGCCGUAAUGAUUAAUAGGGACAGUCGGGGGCAUCAGUAUUCAAUUGUCAGAGGUGAAAUUCUUGGAUUUAUUGAAGACUAACUACUGCGAAAGCAUUUGGCCAAGGAUGUUUUUCAUUAAUCAGUGAACGAAAGUUAGGGGAUCGAAGAACGAUCAGAUACCGUCGGUAGUCUUAACCAUAAACUAUUGCCGACUAGGGAUCGGGCGGUGUUACUAUWUUGACCCGCUCGGCACCUUACRAGAAAUCAAAGUGUUUGGKUCUGGGGRGAGUAUSYCCACCGGCUGACUAAGGUGUUCGGCAGAGG